UGGGGAAUUGUUCGCAAUGGGCGCAAGCCUGACGACGCAACGCCGCGUGGAGGAUGAAGGUCUUCGGAUCGUAAACUCCUGUCAGAUGGGACGAAGGGUCCAGGGUAAAUAAUCCUGGAUCUUGACGGUACUAUCAGAGGAAGCCCCGGCUAACUCCGUGCCAGCAGCCGCGGUAAUACGUAGGUGGCAAGCGUUGUCCGGAUUUAUUGGGUUUAAAGGGUGCGUAGGCGGCUUUGUAAGUCAGUGGUGAAAUAUGGCAGCUCAACUGUCAAGGUGCCAUUGAUACUGCAGAGCUUGAGUACAGAUGAGGUAGGCGGAAUUGACGGUGUAGCGGUGAAAUGCUUAGAUAUCGUCAAGAACACCUAUAGCGAAGGCAGCUUACUAGGCUGUAACUGACGCUGAGGCACGAAAGUGUGGGGAUCAAA
rnacentral:rRNA from 1 species